UACGUAGGGGGCAAGCGUUGUCCGGAUUUAUUGGGCGUAAAGAGCGUGUAGGCGGCCAGUUAGGUCCGUUGUGAAAACUCGAGGCUCAACCUCGAGACGCCGAUGGAAACCAAUUGGCUAGAGUCCGGAAGAGGAGAGUGGAAUUCCCGGUGUAGCGGUGAAAUGCGCAGAUAUCGGGAAGAACACCCGUGGCUAAGGCGGCUCUCUAGUACGGUACUGACGCUGAGACGCGAAAGCGUGGGGAGCGAACAGG
rnacentral:rRNA from 2 species